GACGAACGCUGGCGGCGUGCUUAACACAUGCAAGUCGAACGAUGAACCCGGAGCUUGCUCCGGCGGAUUAGUGGCGAACGGGUGAGUAACACGUGAGUAACCUGCCCUUGACUCUGGGAUAACUGCUAGAAAUGGUAGCUAAUACCGGAUACGACCCUCGGUGGCAUCACCAGGGGGUGGAAAGAAUUUCGGUCAAGGAUGGACUCGCGGCCUAUCAGCUAGUUGGUGAGGUAACGGCUCACCAAGCGGACGACGGGUAGCCGGCCUGAGAGGGUGACGGGCCACACUGGGAGUAAGAGAGGCACCAGACUCCUACGGGAGGCAGCAGUGGGGAAUAUUGCACAAUGGGCGCAAGCCUGAUGCAGCGGCGCCGCGUGAGGGAUGACGGCCUUCGGGUUGUAAACCUCUUUCAGUAGGGACGAAGCGCAAGUGACGGUACCUACAGAAGAAGGACCGGCCAACUACGUGCCAGCAGCCGCCGUAA
rnacentral:rRNA from 1 species